UUAUAUUUUAAUGUUUUAUCUCUUGAACAUGCAUCCAUUUUGCAGUGCGAGAUAGAUGGUAUGCAGCCACGAACUGUCAGUAUGCAUGGUAUAGGGAUGUUAAAUCCGAAAGUAAAUUAACAAAAAUGCAGACAGCCAAUCUGUGGGUCGAUUCUACCUGAUGAACCUUUAAAAAUACAUUUGUCCAGCACAGACGAAACACAGCCUGUGUUGUCCGAACUCUGUAUAGACUGUUGAUUGUAACUAGUAACGCAUUUUUGUUUUCUGUUUUUAAAGUCAAUUUGAAAUAUUAUAUUAUGGAAUUUUCUUAUUUCAUGCACCCAUUUAAAUAAUCGAAAAGAUCAAAAGUCACAAUGACAACAUGCUCCAUUUGCCUUGAACACCUAGAAAAACCCAUGUGCUGUAUUCCUUGUGGACAUCUUUACUGCAAUCGAUGUAUCAGUGCCUGGAGAAAUAGACACAACGAUCGAUGUCCAGAGUGCAGGGAACCAUUUUCAGAAAUACAGUCUAUACGCUUAGACACUGAAUCUAUCAGAGAACUGUUUGAUGAAAGGACCAGACUAAACGAUUCUGUUAAUGAACUAACAAAAACUAUCGAAAAUUUACGGCAGAAUCCAUCAAAUGAAGAAUUUCUUCAAACACAUAUCGUAAGAUGUCAGCUACGGUUCACGACAACUGAGUACAAUAAAUAAAUUUGCGCAUCAUACUAUGUCAAUAUUCUGAGGAAAACUGCAUAAUAAGAUUGAUUUAUCAUGCCUGCAUGCUCAGGCCAUUUUAAAUUAUUUAAGUUUGUAAUUCAAACUUUCGUGAACGAACAUUGGAUAGCGUGAUUUUUAGUUGAUUUUUGUCAAGAAAUGAAUAUUACAAAUGCAAUUAUCUGUAUUGAGAAGAAGACGUAGUUUAAUUAUAUUUUCACAAACCCUUUGUAUUCGUGAGUGAGAAAUAGUUUUAUAUCCCAGAAACUCCUAUGAAUUGUGUUUUAUUUGACAUAUGUUUAUGUUCACCUAACUUCAUAUCAUCAUAAUUAUGUAACAAUUGUAUUGAAUCUAGAACUUAAAAGAGCCAUCAAUCGGAAAAGAUCUACUCCAACAGCGAAAGAUAAUAGUGUUGUCCGUUUUGCUACAAUCAUCUUUCUGAUCUUCGCAUCGGUUUGCUUCUUAUAUCUUGGUGUAUGUAUAUUUGCUGAAUGGUUUUCUGAAAAACCCGAGAUGCUAGACGAUAUAGUAGUGCGACACUUAGAGUUCUUGAGCGGAAGUAGUACUUACAUAACGUCAACGUUUUUAUCAGCCGCAACAUAUGUCGAUUAUUUUUAUGGCACGUAUACUCAAACAGGUAUAAACUAUAUAAUGAAUUGUACUAAUAGCAUUGCUGAGAAGGCAAUCACAUAUUUCAGCGUAGAUGUACAACAUUUUGAUUACAAACUUACUGUAUAUUAGGCAUGUCAAGUAGUUAAUGCUGUUCUUUUCAUAUUAUAUUUGUUAAUUUUUUUUGCUGUGUUUUCCUUUUUAGUUUUAUUUAUGUUAAUUUGUUUAAUUUUUAACUAUGCUGUAAUGAUAUUUGUCUAUUGUUUCCUUUUGAUCUGUUUAUAUUCAUUGAUUUUUCUCAAAAGCUUGUUAAGUUUCUUUCUUUUACGCUAAUGUAUUUGAAGAAUUUCAAGUGGUUAGCAUAAUAACAAUCUAAGAUUAUUUCCAUUAUUAAUCAUUGUAACCGAAAACAAUUAUAAUUGGUUUACUAUAUUGUGUAAAUAUGUCACAACCGUUAGAAGUUUUUAUAAAUUAAUAUAAAAGAAGUCGUUGAACUAAAUUGUUUUUAAAUAUUUCUUUUCAUGUAGAUAAUAAGGGAACUAUCAUUUG